rnacentral:rRNA from 1 species
GUAGUCCACGCCCUAAACGAUGUCAACUAGCUGUUGGGGUUUUAUAGCCUUGGUAGCGCAGCUAACGCGAGAAGUUGACCGCCUGGGGAGUACGGUCGCAAGAUUAAAACUCAAAGGAAUUGACGGGGACCCGCACAAGCGGUGGAUGAUGUGGAUUAAUUCGAUGCAACGCGAAAAACCUUACCUACCCUUGACAUGUCUGGGAUCCUAAAGAGAUUUGGGAGUGCUCGCAAGAGAACCGGAACACAGGUGCUGCAUGGCUGUCGUCAGCUCGUGUCGUGAGAUGUUGGGUUAAGUCCCGCAACGAGCGCAACCCUUGUCAUUAGUUGCUACGCGAGGGCACUCUAAUGAGACUGCCGGUGACAAACCGGA